rnacentral:rRNA from 1 species
UACGGAGGGAGCUAGCGUUGUUCGGAAUUACUGGGCGUAAAGCGCGCGUAGGCGGCUUUGUAAGUUAGAGGUGAAAGCCCGGAGCUCAACUCCGGAAAUGCCAUUGAAACUGUAAAACUUGAGGACGAGAGAGGUGAGUGGAAUUCCCAGUGUAGAGGUGAAAUUCGUAGAUAUUGGGAAGAACACCGGUGGCGAAGGCGGCUCACUGGCUCGUUUCUGACGCUCAGGCGCGAUAGCGUGGGGAUCAAACAGG